CCUACGGGAGGCAGCAGUGGGGAAUAUUGCGCAAUGGGCGCAAGCCUGACGCAGCCAUGCCGCGUGAGUGAAGAAGGUCUUCGGGUUGUAAAGCUCUUUCAGCAGGGAAGAAGGGUCUCUGUGCAAUUCACUAGUGAAUUGACGUUACCUGCAAAGGAAGCACCGGCUAACUCCGUGCCAGCAGCCGCGGUAAUACGGAGGGUGCGAGCGUUAAUCGGAAUUACUGGGCGUAAAGCGCACGCAGGCGGUAUGUCAAGUCAGGGGUGAAAGCCCCGGGCUCAACCUGGGAACUGCCUUUGAAACUGGCAAGCUAGAGUGUGUUAGAGGAGGGUGGAAUUCCAGGUGUAGCGGUGAAAUGCGUAGAGAUCUGGAGGAACAUCGGUGGCGAAGGCGGCCAUCUGGCAAAAGACUGACGCUGAGGUGCGAAAGCGUGGGGAGCAAACAGGAUUAGAUACCCCAGUAGUC
rnacentral:rRNA from 1 species